CCAUGGUGUCCUUGGCAGUCGCGUAGGACUCCGCCACCUUUUGCUUCGCUCCCUCGUAUGCUCUUUUGGCAUCAUCGGCGGCGGUCGCCUGAUCUCCGGCCAUGUCCGCUAUGUUGUCCUUCGCCUCCCCAGCCUUGUUCUUCACGGCCUCUUUUGCUUGUCUGGCCUCGUGGGAAGUAUGCUCUGCAGCUUCUGUGCAAGGGGUCCAGUGUUUAGAAUGUGCACACUUGCCCUGUCCUUGUGCUUAGCCCUCAAACUCUGUAUUCUUUGUCAUAUAGAUUCCGUGUCGUUGUAAUUAGAUUCGGCUAACAUCAGUUUGACUGCCAGGACAGGCCACACUUACCUGAAGCAGCACCGUACAUCGUGUCCUUGGCCUUCAUGGCGAUGUCUCCCGCCUUAUCCUUCGUCUUCUCCGACGCUACCUUCGCGUUCUCCUGCAUCGUCCCGAGCCCCCUGCACAUAGUCAAGGACUAUAACCUU
rnacentral:lncRNA from 1 species